AAAAAAAGGAUAGUUAAAAAAUUGGCCUCCCCACUGCAGGGUCACGACCCCGACUUUGGAUACCACUGCCCCAACCAUACAUAAUAAUGAUGAUGAUGAUGACAAUGAGUGUUUCUGGUUGUCUCAUUCUGCAUGGCACUGCAAGCCCUGCCCCUCUCAGGCUGCAGGCAUUGCUAUUGGACUGAGUUCUAGAUGGACAGGCAUUUCCUCCAGUAGCAAGAGACCGCUGGACAGCCCAGGGUCAGCAGCACACGUCUCCAGCUGUCUCUCUCGACAGGUGCUCUAAGGUGGGAGGACUGGACUAGGCCAGGGGGUGUUGCCUCUGUUGGUAGAGCAGCUGCAGCAGGUCUCUGCAUCAUCAGACCCCUCUGUCACCCUGUCCCUGAUCAAGUUUAUAUAAUGGAGCCUGAGAGAGAUAGACAACAGCACACAGCUGACAUGCUACUCCCUCCACAGUGACCGUGUGUGUGUGUGAUUGUCAGGGGGCUGUUUCUGCAGUAUGGGGGAGUGUCUGUCCUCUUAGCCCUGCUCUGAGGGGGAAAGAAGGGGCUGCAGACCCCCAUAGACAUCCUACUGCAGCUCAGUGCAGAGUCACGGUAUCUGUCUGAGCUCCGGCCUGCGCGCACCACUGAGGACUUUUUCCAUACAGCAGCUGUUCUUGUGAAUAGCCCCCCAGACUAGAACUUCCUCUUCUGGAGAAAGUCUCCAUCAUCCUCCAGAAACUCCCUAAGAUCAGGAAGAACAGAUGGCUGUUUGAACUCUGCUCUCUCCAUCUGCUGCUGCAGAUACCUACCUACCUACCUACCUACCUACCUACCUACCUACUUACCUACACACACACACACACACACACACACACACACACACACACACACACACACACACACACACACACACACACACACACACACCUAUUGAAGUGGUGGCUUUUUAUUUUUUGUCCAAUUUUGUCAUUUGUUUUGAUAUGAUCUUAACAUUUAUAUUCUAUCCAACCAUACAUCAUUUUCAACCUAUAUGCCAUCUGCUAUGAAAUGAGCAUCAUGUUGGGAUUGGCUAUAAUGUGUGUCUAAUGCAUUCUGAGGUACAGAUGAUUUCACUAGGAUGCAAUAAACAAAGAGAU